rnacentral:rRNA from 1 species
GGCUCAGGAUAAACGCUAGCGGUGUGCAUUAUGCAUGCAAGUCGAGCGGUCAGUCGCAAGAUUGACAGCGGCAAACGGCUGAAUAACACGUAAGCAACCUGUCCUUAAGUGGGGAAUAAUCUACCGAAAGGUGGACUAAUACCGCAUGUGGUAGUGGAGGUAGUGCUUCAUUACUAAAGCGCUUGCGCGCUUGAGGAGGGGCUUGCGGCCUAUCAGGUAGUUGGUGAGGUAACGGCCCACCAAGCCGACGACGGGUAGCUGGUCUGAGAGGACGUACAGCCAGACGGGGACUGAGACACGGCCCCGACUCCUACGGGAGGCAGCAGCAGGGAAUAUUGCGCAAUGGGCGAAAGCCUGACGCAGCAACACCGCGUGAGGGAAGAAGGCCUUCGGGUCGUAAACCUCUUUUGUUAGGGAAGAAUAAUGACGGUACCUAAUGAAUAAGUCACGGCUAACUACGUGCCAGCAGCUGCGGUAAUACGUAGGUGGCAAGCGUUAUCCGGAUUCACUGGGCGUAAAGCGCGCGUAGGUGGUCCUUCAAGUCAGAUGUUAAAUAUUCCGGCUUAACUGGAAAAUGUCAUCUGAUACUGCUGGACUUGAGGACGGUAGAGGGAGGUGGAAUUCCCGGUGUAGUGGUGAAAUGCGUAGAUAUCGGGAGGAACACCAGUGGCGAAAGCGGCCUCCUAGGCCGUUCCUGACACUGAGGCGCGAAAGCGUGGGGAGCGAACAGGAUCAGAUACCCUGGUAGUCCACGCCCUAAACUGUGGAAACUAGGUACAGGGAGUAUCGACCCUUCCUGCGCCGUAGCUAACGCGUUAAGUUUCCCGCCUGGGGACUACCGUCGCAAGACUAAAACUC